CUAGGAACCCAAACAAUUCAUGCCACAAACAUGUUCAAUUAGACACACUUUGGACACAUUUUAAACGCCAGAAAAAUAGUUACCUAUCCCCAUCCAAACAAUAAUAUAUCUUCUCCUUUUCACUUAAGCCAUCAACUCUCAUCAUUACAGGUAAAGUGAAGUUACAUUUUUAUUUCAUUUACUGUACAUUGUGUUUAAUAUUUUUUUC